GAGUAACAACAACGACUCUCGGCAACGGAUAUCUCGGCUCUCGCAUCGAUGAAGAACGUAGCGAAAUGCGAUACUUGGUGUGAAUUGCAGAAUCCCGUGAACCAUCGAGUCUUUGAACGCAAGUUGCGCCCGAAGCCAUUCGGCCGAGGGCACGUCUGCCUGGGUGUCACGC
rnacentral:rRNA from 1 species